rnacentral:rRNA from 1 species
UCCAGACUCCUACGGGAGGCAGCAGUGGGGGAUAUUGCACAAUGGGGGGAACCCUGAUGCAGCGACGCCGCGUGGGUGAAGGAGCACCUCGGUGCGUAAAGCCCUAUCGGCAGGGAAGAAACAGACGGUACCUGACUAAGAAGCCCCGGCUAACUACGUGCCAGCAGCCGCGGUAAUACGUAGGGAGCAAGCGUUAUCCGGAAUUAUUGGGUGUAAAGGGUGCGUAGACGGGACAGCAAGUUAGUUGUGAAAGCCCUCGGCUUAACUGAGGAACUGCAACUAAAACUAUUGUUCUUGAGUGCAGGAGAGGAAAGCGGAAUUCCUAGUGUAGCGGUGAAAUGCGUAGAUAUUAGGAGGAACACCAGUGGCGAAGGCGGCUUUCUGGACUGUAACUGACGCUGAGGCGCGAAAGCGUGGGUAGCGAACGGGAUUAGAUACCCUCGUA